rnacentral:rRNA from 1 species
GUAAACGAUGAUUACUGGCUGUUUGCGAUAUAAUGUAAGCGGCUGAGCGAAAGCGUUAAGUAAUCCACCUGGGGAGUACGUUCGCAAGAAUGAAACUCAAAGGAAUUGACGGGGGCCCGCACAAGCGGAGGAACAUGUGGUUUAAUUCGAUGAUACGCGAGGAACCUUACCCGGGCUUGAAAUGCGUCUGACAGUCGGAGAGAUCCGAUCUCCCUUCGGGGCAGACGUGUAGGUGCUGCAUGGUUGUCGUCAGCUCGUGCCGUGAGGUGUCGGCUUAAGUGCCAUAACGAGCGCAACCCUCAUCGUUAGUUGCCAUCAGGUAGUGCUGGGGACUCUAACGAGACUGCCAUCGUAAGAUGCGAGGAAGGUGGGGAUGACGUCAAAUCAGCACGGCCCUUACGUCCGGGGCGACACACGUGUUACAAUGGGUGGUACAAAGGGCAGCUACAUGGCGACAUGGUGCCAAUCCCCAAAACCACUCUCAGUUCGGAU